AGUGCGCCCAGGGGGGUCCCUCAGCCCAGAUUGUGAGAGGGCACAGGCCAGGCUGAGGGACCCACUGGUGCAUG
rfam:Myotis lucifugus cont2.65464, whole genome shotgun sequence.